rnacentral:rRNA from 1 species
AUUGAACGCUGGCGGCAGGCCUAACACAUGCAAGUCGAGCGGAUGAAGGGAGCUUGCUCCUGGAUUCAGCGGCGGACGGGUGAGUAAUGCCUAGGAAUCUGCCUGGUAGUGGGGGAUAACGUCCGGAAACGGGCGCUAAUACCGCAUACGUCCUGAAGGAGAAAGUGGGGGAUCUUCGGACCUCACGCUAUCAGAUGAGCCUAGGUCGGAUUAGCUAGUUGGUGGGGUAAAGGCCUACCAAGGCGACGAUCCGUAACUGGUCUGAGAGGAUGAUCAGUCACACUGGAACUGAGACGCGGUCCAGACUCCUACGGGAGGCAGCAGUGGGGAAUAUUGGACAAUGGGCGAAAGCCUGAUCCAGCCAUGCCGCGUGUGUGAAGAAGGUCUUCGGAUUGUAAAGCACGUUAAGUUGGGAGGAAGGGCAGUAAGUUAAUACCUUGCUGUUUUGACGUUACCAACAGAAGAAGCACCGGCUAACUUCGUG